AGCAGCCGCGGUAAUUCCAGCUCCAAUAGCGUAUAUUAAAGUUGUUGCAGUUAAAAAGCUCGUAGUUGAACCUCGGGGUCUACCCAUUGGUCAGGCUUAAUUGUCUGCACUGGUGAGAUGGAUCUCUACCUUCUGAGGAACUUUCAUGCCAUUUAUUUGGUGUGAUGGGAAAUCAGGACUGUUACUUUGAAAAAUUAGAGUGUUUAAAGCAGACUAUCGUCUGAAUCCAUUAGCAUGGAAUAAUGAAAUAGGACGGACUGAUUCUAUUUCGUUGGUUUCUAGGAUCACCGUAAUGAUUAAUAGGGAUAGUUGGGGGCAUUAGUAUUCAAUUGUCAGAGGUGAAAUUCUUGGAUUUAUUGAAGACUAACUACUGCGAAAGCAUUUGCCAAGGAUGUUUUCAUUAAUCAAGAACGAAAGUUAGGGGAUCGAAGACGAUCAGAUACCGUCGUAGUCUUAACCAUAAACUAUGCCGACUAGGGAUCGGACGAAGUUAAUUUUAUAAUGACGCGUUC
rnacentral:rRNA from 1 species